GGAACAGGGGAGUGCCCUUCGGGAGCCAGGAGACAGGUGCUGCAUGGCUGUCGUCAGCUCGUGUCGUGAGAUGUUGGGUUAAGUCCCGCAACGAGCGCUAACCCUUGUCUUUAAUUGCCAUCAUUCAGUUGGGCACUUUAAAGAGACUGCCGGUGUUAAACCGGAGGAAGUGGGGAUGACGUCAAGUCCUCAUGGCCUUUAUGCCCAGGGCUACACACGUGCUACAAUGGGUGGUACAAAGAGAUGCAAUACCGCGAGGUGGAGCAAAUCCCAUAAAGCCGGCCUCAGUUCAGAUCGGAGGCUGCAACUCGCCUCCGUGAAGGCGGAAUCGCUAGUAAUCGCGGAUCAGCAGGCCCGCGGUCGAAUACGUUCCCGGGCCUU
rnacentral:rRNA from 1 species